CCCUGCAAUGAUGAUCCUUCACACCACUGUUCCCGCGACAUCCUGAGCGAUUGAACACAUGCACUACCAUCUGAGCCUUG
rnacentral:snoRNA from 1 species